rnacentral:rRNA from 1 species
AUUGAACGCUGGCGGUAUGCUUAACACAUGCAAGUCGAACGGAAACGACAAGGAGCUUGCUCCUUGGGCGUCGAGUGGCGGACGGGUGAGUAAUAUAUAGGAACCUUCCUCAUAGUUUGGGAUAACUACUCGAAAGAGUGGCUAAUACCGGAUGUGGACUACGGUUUAAAGCAGGGGAUCUUCGGACCUUGCGCUACGAGAUGGGCCUAUACAGGAUUAGCUAGUUGGUGAGGUAAUGGCUUCACCAAGGCGACGAUCCUUAGCUGGUUUGUAGAGGAUGACCAGCCACACUGGGACUGAGACACGGCCCAGACUCCUACGGGAGGCAGCAGUGGGGAAUUUUGCGCAAUUGGCGAAAGCCUGACGCAGCGACGCCGCGUGAAUGAAGAA